AUACUUACCUGGCAGGGGAGACACCAUGGUGUGGUGGAAGGUGGUUCUCCCAGGGCGAGGCUCAGCCAUUGCACUCCGAUCAUGCUGACCCCUGAGAAUUCCCCAAAUGUGGGAAACUUGACUGCAUAAUCUGUGUUAGUGGGGGACUGCAUUCGCACUCUCCCCUG